ACUCCUACGGGAGGCAGCAGUAGGGAAUCUUCCACAAUGGGCGCAAGCCUGAUGGAGCAACACCGCGUGAGUGAAGAAGGGUUUCGGCUCGUAAAGCUCUGUUGUUAGAGAAGAACACGUAUGAGAGUAACUGUUCAUACGUUGACGGUAUUUAACCAGAAAGUCACGGCUAACUACGUGCCAGCAGCCGCGGUAAUACGUAGGUGGCAAGCGUUAUCCGGAUUUAUUGGGCGUAAAGAGAGUGCAGGCGGUUUUCUAAGUCUGAUGUGAAAGCCUUCGGCUUAACCGGAGAAGUGCAUCGGAAACUGGAUAACUUGAGUGCAGAAGAGGUAGUGGAACUCCACGUGUAGCGGUGGAAUGCGUAGAUAUAUGGAAGAACACCAGUGGCGAAGGCGGCUACCUGGUCUGCAACUGACGCUGAGACUCGAAAGCAUGGGUAGCGAACAGGAUUAGAUACCCCUGGUAGGAUAGCG
rnacentral:rRNA from 1 species